GAUGAACGCUGGCGGCGUGCCUAAUACAUGCAAGUCGAGCGAACAGACGAGGAGCUUGCUCCUCUGACGUUAGCGGCGGACGGGUGAGUAACACGUGGAUAACCUACCUAUAAGACUGGGAUAACUUCGGGAAACCGGAGCUAAUACCGGAUAAUAUAUUGAACCGCAUGGUUCAAUAGUGAAAGACGGUUUUGCUGUCACUUAUAGAUGGAUCCGCGCCGCAUUAGCUAGUUGGUAAGGUAACGGCUUACCAAGGCAACGAUGCGUAGCCGACCUGAGAGGGUGAUCGGCCACACUGGAACUGAGACACGGUCCAGACUCCUACGGGAGGCAGCAGUAGGGAAUCUUCCGCAAUAGGCGAAAGCCUGACGGAGCAACGCCGCGUGAGUGAUGAAGGUCUUCGGAUCGUAAAACUCUGUUAUUAGGGAAGAACAAAUGUGUAAGUAACUAUGCACGUCUUGACGGUACCUAAGCAGAAAGCCACGGCUAACUACGU
rnacentral:rRNA from 1 species